rnacentral:rRNA from 1 species
GACGAAGGGGGCUAGCGUUGUUCGGAAUUACUGGGCGUAAAGGGCGCGUAGGCGGCCCGCUAAGUCGAACGUGAAAUCCCCGAGCUCAACUCGGGAACUGCGUCCGAUACUGGCGGGCUUGAAUCCGGGAGAGGGAUGCGGAAUUCCAGGUGUAGCGGUGAAAUGCGUAGAUAUCUGGAGGAACACCGGUGGCGAAGGCGGCAUCCUGGACCGGCAUUGACGCUGAGGCGCGAAAGCUAGGGGGAGCAAACAGG